rnacentral:tRNA from 1 species
UGAGACAGUAGCUCAACUGGAAGAGCGCCUUCUUGCCAGGAAGGAGGUUGGGAGUUCGAGCCUCCCCGUCUCAC